rnacentral:rRNA from 1 species
CUUAGUGGCGGCAGCGAGACAGCUACACUAGAGUGGACGAUCGCUGAGCUGAUAAGGAACCCAAAGGUGAUGCAGAAGGUGACAGCCGAGGUUCGGCAAGCCUUCGAAGCUCGUGGCAGUGUAGCAAAGGACACCCUCGGUGAGCUCCCGUACAUGCAUCUGGUCAUCAGGGAGGCGUUCAGGCUCCACAUGCCCACGCCGUUACUCCUCCCGCGGGAGUGCCGUGAGCCAUGCCAGAUUCUUGGGUACGACGUGCCCCGGGGCACGCAGGUGCUAAUCAAUGUUUGGGCGAUGGGCCGCGAUGAGUGAUACUGGCCCGGCGCGCCUAGCGAGUUCCGGCCGGAGCGGUUUGAGGGCGAGGCGGCCACCGUGGACUUUAGGGGAACCAACUUCUCCUUCCUGCCGUUCGGUUCUGGCAGGAGAACUUGCCCCGGGAUGGCGUUCGGCCUCGCCAACAUCGAGCUCGCUCUCGCAAGCCUGCUGUUCCACUUUGAUUGGGAGGGUCCACCACGGGAGGAGUUGGACAUGGAGGAAGCGUUUGGCAUCACGGCACGGCGGAAGGCCGACCUCCUUCUUCGCCCUGUCCUCCGAGUCCCCCUUCGUGGAGUGGACAGUGGAGAUGUCCGUUAG